rnacentral:rRNA from 1 species
UUAAACAUGAGAGUUUGAUCCUGGCUCAGGAUGAACGCUGGCGGCGUGCCUAACACAUGCAAGUCGAACGA